UAAAUACGAAAAAGAAAAGUAAGUGGGGUGGGCUUUCCUUCCAUCACCUGUAUUACUCCCUGUAAAAGGCCUCAAAAGCAAUCUUUGCUUUUUUUUUCCGUUAGAAAAGAAAAGUGUCUGUGGGGCUCAAGUUUGAGUUGGAACCAGGCUCAGGGUCCACCUGUCCUCGCUGAUCCGUGGAUUUCUGUGUGACCAGCUGACACCUAUGGAGCUGUGGCCCUGACUACUACCACUUUGGGGCACAACCUGAAGACCCUCACAGUCACCUUCCCCAUCUCCACCCUCCAGUAUUCAUCAGACAGGAGCAAUAGCUCAGCCACGUUCAACUCCACUGAGAGGGUCCUGCAGAGCCUGGGGAGACCCUGGUCCCAGCAGCUCCUGUUGGGUU